rnacentral:lncRNA from 1 species
UUUCCUUCUUAAGGACAACAGCUAAAAGAAUUACUUCACUUCUCGUAUGUAUUAUGUGUUAUAGUCUAUCUGUAAGGAUGAAAAAGGAGGCGUUCAUCUGUGUGAUUCUCGCAAUUAUUCUCAGUGGUAAGUUCUUCUGACAGUGAAAAAUUAAAUACUAUGUAAAAUGACAUGUUUUCUUCUUUUAGUUUACAACUGUCAUUCAACGAAGUUAUAUAUAGUGACAAUUGUUAAUUUAAACAAAUACAUUAUGUACAUUUACAGAAUAUUGAAUACGAAACACAAUAUGGAAUUUACCAAUUUCACAGAAUAUAUGUAAAAGAACACAGUCACCGUCAACUGAAUGACAAAAGAAGUUAAAAUUAUCCUUUUCUCUCAAUUUUACUAGAGUUGGAGUUACGAAUGUUUUUCUCAAGUGAAACUAUUGCAAUCGCCCAUUUUAAAUAUCAUAAACAAAGAGGCGAUACCGUAUACUAUAUGUACCAAUGAAAUGAAUCAAAAUCCGAUGUGACGGUAAGUUGUAAAAGAGUUUUCAAGCUUGUGAUUUAAAAACUUGAUUGAAGAUCUAGAGAACCGGUCACAUUUUCUUUUACUCGACCUGCAAGUCAAAUACGUUUUGUUAAAGUACCAGUGGCGGAUCCAGAGGGGGGGGGUUCCGGGGGUGCGCACCCCCCUUUAUUUUUGCCGAUCAAUGCAUUUGUAUCGGGACAUAUGUUUUGCACCCCCCCUUUGCCCUGGGUUAGCACCCCCCCCCCCCCUUUUCGAAAAUUCCUGCAUCCGCCCCUGAGUACACUUCUUCAUAUACAUCUUUUUGCCGGGUCUUUUGGAAAAUGUUGUUUGUGCUGUCACGAUUUAGACCCCUCUAUCAAGAAAUUUGUUUUGCAUGCACACAUUUUAAUCCAACGCAAUCAUAGGUUUGAACGUUGUUUUCAAUUUAGACUUAUUUAUAUUUUUUCGUUUGGGCUUGUUUUAUAUUUGCCGACUUAGGGUUUAUAUGCACCCGUUCAUCAUAGUCUUAUUUUGACUCUUUCAAAAUUGAAAAGUCUAUCCUAAAUUGAGGUACAUUAUAUGGCCAUCCAAAUACCGUUUUGAUUCCGGCCUAAUAUCACUAAAGAAACAUUAUUGUCGAAAUCCGGAUGUCACGGCAAAUUUUUGCACCUCAGGUUUGCGGUAUACCGUCUUUUCCGCCGCAAGUUUAGUGUUUUCUUUUUGGUAACAUAUUAGUAAUAAGAUCAAUUUUGUUAUAUCUGGUGAUCCGUUUACUUUGUAAUCGCCAAUGGCACAGUCAGCACCAGUUGUUCGACCUGCUAGUCAACAUAUACUUUUUAUACGACCCCAAAAAUUGAAAUUUUUUUGGUCGUAUAUUGGUAUCACGUUGGCGUUGUCGUCUGCGUCGUCGUCGUCGUCCGAAUACUUUUAGUUUUCGCACUCUAACUUUAGUAAAAUUAAAUAGAAAUCUAUGAAAUUUUAACACAAGGUUUAUGACCACAAAAGGAAGGUUGGGAUUGAUUUUGGGAGUUUGGUUCUAACAGUUUAGGAAUCAGGGGCCAAAAAAGGGCCCAAAUAAGCAUUAUUCUUGGUUUUCGCACAAUAACUUUAGUAUAAGAAAAUAGAAAUCAAUGAAAUUUAAACACAAGGUUUAUGACCACAAAAGGAAGGUUGGGAUUGAUUUUUGGAGUUGAGGUCCCAACAGUUUAGGAAUUAAGGGCCAAAAAGGGGCCCAAAUAAGCAUUUUCUUGGUUUUCGCACCAUAACUUUAGUAUAAGUAAAUAGAAAUCUAUGAAAUUUAAACACAAGGUUUAUGUCCAUAAAAGGAAGGUUGGGAUUGAUUUUGGGAGUUUUGGUCCGUACAGUUUAGGAAUAAUUAAAGGGGCCCAAAGGGUCCAAAAUUAAAUUUUGUUUGAUUUCAUCAAAAAUUGAAUAAUUGGGGUUCUUUGAUAUGCCGAUUCUAACUGUGUAUGUAGAUUCUUAAUUUUUGGUCCCGUUUUCAAAUUGGUCUACAUUAAGGACCAAAGGGUCCAAAAUUAAACUUAGUUUGAUUUUAACAAAAAUUGAAUCCUUGGGGUUCUUUGAUAUGCUGAAUCUAAAAAUGUACUUAGAUUUUUGAUUAUUGGCCAAGUUUUCAAGUUGGUCCAAAUCAGGAUCCAAAAUUAUUAUACUAAGUAUUGUGCAAUAGCAAGAAAUUUUCAAUUGCACAGUAUUCAGCAAUAGCAAGAAAUCUUCAAUUGCACAGUAUUGUGCAAUAGCAAGAAAUUUUCAAUUGCACAGUAUUGUGCAAUAGCAAGAAAUCUUCAAUUGCACAGUAUUGUGCAAUAGCAAAUAUUUUCAAUUGCACAGUAUUGCGCAAUAGCAAGAAAUAUCUAAUUGCACAAUAUUGUGCAAUAGCAAGAUUUUUUUUUCAAUUGGAGUUAUCUUUCUUUGUCCAGAAUAGUAGUUGAAUCAACUUAAAUCAUUGUUUUAUACAAUAUACAAUGUAUAUUCACUUUUACUACCAACUGAUAAAUUAAAACAAUCUUUACCAUUCAGUGAUAACAAGCACUUUUUUUACAUUUUAAUAUUUUAUGCUGUAUUUAAAUGAGUAGUUAUUGUUGCAAUCUCCAUUAGAAAUUUGAAUUGAGAUCAGUUUUGGAAAAAGGGAAAGGGGGAUGUGAAAAAAAAUGGGGGGGGGGGGGUUCAAUUUUUCUCAUUUCAGAUUUCAUAAAUAAAAAGAAAAUUUCUUUAAACAUUUUUUUGAGAGGAUUAAUAUUCAACAGCAUAGUGAAUUGGUCAAAGGCAAAACAAAAAUUUUAAGUUCAUUAGACCACAUUCAUUCUGUGUCAGAAACCUAUGCUGUGUCAACUAUUUAAUCACAAUCCAAAUUUAGAGCUGAAUCCAGCUUGAAUGUUGUGUCCAUACUUGCCCCAACCGUUCAGAGUUCAACCUCUGCGAGCUGCGCCCUGCGGAGCAUCUGGUUCACUUUUGUGGUCUUUUGGAAAAUGAUGUUUGUACUGUAUCUAAACCCUUCUACAACGAAAUUUGUUUUGCAUGCACAUGUAUACAAAUUGCGGUUUUUAUCCAACGCAAUCGAUUCUUGUUAAUUCAAUAUCAAUUCUGACAUUGUAUACUAAUUUUUCAAAUUCACUCUGAAAAGAUUACACCACAUUAAUUAUAUGGUAGCUGUAACUUAUAAUUGUUAUAUUAUAAUAUCGAUAAGCUAGCUAAAUAAACAAUUUUGUAUUGUUUGGUAUAUAUAUCAUCACAUAUAUAUAGGAUCAGGGGCGGAUCCAGUCAUUUAAAAAAAAGGGGGGGUCCUAACCCAGGGCAAAAAAAAAGGGUGUGUGUUCCAACUUCAUCAUAUGUCCCCAUUCAAAUGCAUUGAUCUUCCAAAAAAAAGGGGGGUUCCAAACCCCGGACCCCCCCUUGGAUCCGCCAUUGAGGAUCAUAUAGAGACAUUGAUCCCCUUUCUUAAAUUUUGUAGUAUGCAAAAUAAAGGCAACAGUAGUAUACCGCUGUUUAAACUCAUAAAUCCAUGGACAAAAAACAAAAUCGGGGUAACAAACUAAAACUGAGGGAAACGCAUUAAAAUAUAUAAGAGGAGAACAACACAGGGAACAAAUUAAGUCUAUUAUUGUAGAAUUUUAGAAAUAAUAUAAUUCUUUAUCAUUUUUAGAAUUUUUUAGAGUAAUCUUAAUGUUCUUGUAUAUCUUAGUUAUCUUGGUAGUUCUGUUGUGCUGGGUGAUGUAUCGAUUAUGGGUAAAUCCCCUGUUUCUAUUUAUAACGCUAGCUAAUACAUUUCAUAGAGUUUACGCGGGAAUUUUUCUCGUGCUGCACGAUGUUCAUGGACUUGGAUAUUUAUACUUGGAUAUUUAUAAAACCUCGUCUUGACAAUAUUUCUUUAGAUUGGUGAACACUUUCGUGCUGGUAAGUUGUGCAUUGUUAGUUUUAUUCAGUUUCAAAGUUUGACUUAUUUAAUUAAAUAUUGCAAAAUAAACAACAAUUUAAAAACAAAGCAAUGGUGUUAUGGCACAAUAUUGAAGAGGCCCCUCAUGGGGGUGCACAAUUAAUCAUAUAAUCACAAAUAUUCUGUCAGUAUAAUAACAUAAUCAUUAAAAAAAUUAAACAAGAUAAUGAAAUAAUAAAAAAAAACACACCUAGAUCAGAGACAUAAAAUACUAUUUUGGGCGUUUUUCAAUAAAAACGUAUUUUCUUGUCCCAGCCACUUAAAAAAAAAAAUGUUUGUCAGUUUGAUCUUUGUAAGUAAUUUUUUGUGCAGUCAGUACAUUGAAUUUGAUUUAACAUUUUUAAGCAAAGAAACAGUUUAUUUAAUUUUUUAGAGUGAUUGAUAAGAUAUUGACUCCUGAAUGGUCCAAAACAACCAAAAUGGCAUGUCCCUAAAAUAUUGUAAAAAAAUGAAGAAAUAAAUGUUAUUUUUACUUUACAUAAGUUCUUUAAUAAUUCAAAAGUAUGUUCAGAGCCAACAUAUUUUAAUAAACAGCUUUCAAUAUAGGAUUUUUAAUUUCAGGUGUGUCCCUCACAAAAUGUCCACUACGAAACGAAGUCAUUAAAAUUUGCCAAUAAAGAUCAAUAAACAGUUUUAUAAAAUCAAUGUAAUUUUUGUUUGCAAGAGAUAUAAACAUUAGGGUCUAACAAAAGAAGUGAUGCUUUUAUAACGGCAAUUAAAUUGUUGGUAAGAAAAAUUGAGCACAUCAAAUGGACCAGAGUGAUACCGUAUUUUUGCUAAUGUCCACUACGAAACAUUUCUGAUUUGUAGCUCCAAGGCAUUUUGUUGUCAUUUGGCCUUUGCCUUUGUAGUGAAUAUGAAAAUAGGGAGAUGAGGUAUGAUUGCCAAUAAGACUACUAUCCACCAUAGUUCAAAUACAGUGGAUGUAAGCAAUUAUAGGCAACCAUAUGGCCUUCAUCAAUGAGAAAAUCCCAUAAUGUAAAGUCAGCUAUAAAAGGCCCACCAGACAUGAGAAAUAUUAAACAAUUCGACUGGGAAAAUUAACUGCCUAUAUAUAUAGCUACAUGUACAUGUACUUGAAUAUUACAAAACAAUUAAUCUAAAACGAAAAUGACAGACAUGAACCAACAACAACCAGUGAACUACAUGCUCCUGACUUGGGACAGGCACAUAAUGAGUGUGGCAGGGUUAAACUUGUUUGUGAGCGCUCAAUCUUUCCCCCUUAUCUGGGAUAGUGACAUAACAGCACCUUUAAAAAUCAGUGGAAAGCUUAAAGUUAUCAGUUUUGUCGAUUUAAUAUGCAUUCAAGAAAAGGAUUGUCCAUAUAAAGUUGCCCUAAAUCUGACACCUCCUUUUCAGUACCCAUGACAUGACUUAGCCCAGUAUUCCCACAAGGGGCAAAUAUAUGUGUAGACUUUUUCAACACUACUAAUCUCAUUGUUGUGACACCAAUCCCCACCAUCUCCUCACCAAUUAAUAUUAACCUCCUGCUCCCCUUUGGCUUCCUCAUUAUUUGACUCAUUAUAGCCCUCACUGUCAUCUUUCCCCUGCCCAUUCUGAUCAAUUCUUAACCUUUCCUCAUUAAGUAAGCAAGACCUAUUUUCCGGCAUUAAUAACAUCAGUUUCACUGAACCUGCAAAUUCUACAUCAGUUUCGUUUGAUGACAUUUUCACACUGAAAUACUAGCAGACGAAGUUGCACUUCCUAAACUGCUUUCAAUUUCGUGCAUUGUUCUCCCAUACAUUCACAGCCCUAUCCGCUUAUUUCACCCGAUACUCGAUCAAAGUGUCAGUGUCACCCGAGUACCAGCUUUUCAAAGCCAUAUCUCUGUUCCCUCGAAAUCGAGAAUUGUUUUUGUAGCAAAGCCAUGAACGCGAAAAAAACUUACAAAGUGUCAGUGUCACCCGAGUACCAGCUUUUCAAAGCCAUAUCUCUGUUCCCUCGAAAUCGAGAAUUGUUUUUGUAGCAAAGCCAUGAACGCGAAAAAAACUUACUUGUCUAGUUCCGAUUUGUGGGGGGAAUAAAAAGAUCGCUAUCAUAUUUAUUUAAGAUAUAUUGAACCUUUUAUUUUUAUUAUAUAGUUAAAAGAAUAAUAAAGGGCUUCAUCAAAACACAGAAAACAGCUGUACUUCCACUCCUCGUUAUCGAGAGGAGCCAUUUUGAAACCCCACAAUGACCUCACGUUUUUCCGGUUCUAAUUUUAGAAAAUAAAAUUUUCCAAUUUGAUUUAUUUACCUUUCACGAUGUUUUUAAUGCUGUUGAAGAACUGAAAUAAUACCCUCAGAUAUCGUAGAUUUUAAUUGAAACAUUGAUUUCAACUUUUAAGAACGGCAAAUAGCGUAAAAUUGCAGCUUUUAUUGGGACAAUAUUUAUGUAUCCUGAAAGAUACACUCGCCCUGCGCAUCGUGUAUCCUCAAGGAUACAUCCGCCCUGCGCAUUGUGUAUCCUCAAGGAUACACUCGCCGCGAAAGGGUUAAUGUCACUACGAAACAGGUCAAAUCUCCUUCAGUAUCUGGUUUUAAAAAUUAUGAAAAAAAUAUCAGUGUACAGCUUAAUAAAUGCUUUGAUGAAUACAAUCAGUCUUGUUACUAUUGCAAUAUAGGGAUUGUGGGGAAAAAAAUAAAACAUGCGAAUAUGUCCCCUACAAAACAGUACACAAAUUAUGAAAAUAAUAUCAUUUAAAGAAUAUUUAAGAUUGCACUUUUUGUUUACAAACAGGUCUAUAAUAAUAGAGGUAUUAAAAAAACUCUUGAAAUUAAAUUUAUUUUAGACGAGUUGAUUUUCCAUUUUUUUAGGUCUGAAAGUUGCGCUAUUAUUGAAAAACGCCCUUAUAUGUCUCUGCCUAGAUUAUCAAAUAAUCUAAUAAUCAUAAUUUGGUCUUGUAAUCAAAUAAUCACUAUAUUAAAAAACGGCCAAGUAAUGGCAUUUAUAAUAAAAAAAACUCGUGAGGAGGCUCAUGAAAAUACACAGCAGAAAUCACUUAUAAUCAAAUAGCAAAAGAAAGUUGCUAAUAAGCACCAGGUAGCAACAUUUAAAGCGGCAAGCCUAGAAAUUCGCAAGCAGCGAUGAUAAUUUAGCAAUGAGAUAAAAGAGUUUAAUUGGUUUUUACAGGCACUCUAAAAAUAAUUUUGACCAUUACACCAGCUAGAAAUGUAACUGGCCAUGAUAAAAUAAUAGUUCUGCCAACUUUUAAUGAAGCAAAUGCGUGAGAUUCAGCCAUAAUUGUAAAUUAAGAUCAUAGACAUGAUAGAGAAAAAAACAAUAGAUCAAAGGAAAAUGUGUGAGUCUCGUGCUGUGCAAGACUUGCCAUCCCUGAAAUGAGAGACAAAUGAGGCCAUAUUUCUAGUCUCAUUUGGCAGUGUAUUCCAGAGUCUUAUUUUUAGUUACCCUGACCCGACAGGUCGAGUAAGCUUUUCUUAUGACUUAUUGGCUGUCGUCGUCGUUGUUGUCGCAUUUGUUUGUUGACUUACAAAAAUCUUCUCCUGAAACCACUGGGCCAAUCUUAACCAAACUUGGACACAUGCAAUCAUCAUUAGGGUAUCUAGUUUAAAAAGUCUGACAAUCUGGUCUGCCAACCUACAUGGUCGCCAUUCCUAGACAUAGAAUUUGGGGGUAAAUGCAGUUUUUGGCUUAUAUCUCUGAAACUAAAGCAUUUAAAACAAAUCUGACACAAGCAAAAAUGUUCACCAGGUCAAGAUCUGCCCUGAAAAUUUCAGAUGAAUCGGACAACCUGUUGUUGGGUUGCUGCCCCUGAAAAAGAAAUUUUAAGGAAAGUUUGCAGUUAGGGUUAUUAUCUUGAAUAUUAUUAUAGAAAGAGAUAAACUGUAAGCAGCAAUAAUGUUAAGGAAAGUAAGAUCUACAAAUAAGUCAACAACCCAAAAUUGUCAAUUAGCCUCUUAAGGAGUUAUUGCCCUUUAUAGUAAUUUUUAGCUCACCUGACCCAAAGGGCCAAGUUAGCUUUUCUCAUCACUUAGCGUCCUGUGUCCGUUGUCGUACAAAAAUCUUCUCCUCUGAAACUACUGGGCCAAAUUAAACCAAACUUAGCCACAAUCAUCAUUGGGGUAUCUAGUUUAUAAAAUGUGUCCGGUUACCCGGCUAACCAACCAAGAUGGUGGCCAUGGCUAAAAGUAGAAAGGAGUAAAAUGUAGUUUUUGGCUCAUAUCUCUGAAACCAAAGCAUUUAGAGCAAAUCUGACAGGGUAAAAUUGUUUAUCAGGUCAAGUUCUUUCUACCCUGAAAUUCUUAGAUGAAUCAGAGAACCCGUUGUUGGGUUGCUGCCCCUAAAUUGGUAAUUUUCAGGAAAUUUUGCCGUUUUUGGUUAUUAUCUCAGAGCUCCAGAUAAGAAUUCACAAAUUGGGGUUUUUACCCACCAUUUUCUUCUAUAAUUGGGUGAUAAAGUUUUUUAAUUAUAUUAUAAAUUCCAAUUUACCCCUCAAGUUAAUACCAAAUUGGGUUUUUCACCACCAAGCUCCUUAAUGUACAGUCUGCACGGUUAGCCACUAGUCCGAUGCCCCAGACUUGUAAAAAUUCAUUUGGACUAGUAAGAUUUUGCAAAACUUUGAUUUGACCAAUAAGAAAAAUUUCAGAAUAUUGGUCUUCGGACUAGUAGUUGAAAAGCUUUUGGUGCAGACUGAAUGUAUUGGGUUUUUUCAUCAACACAAUAUUGAAUAUUUAGGCAAUAUCAACCUCAGAUUUUUUUCCAACUUAAAUAUGUCAUGUUGUAUGUUUCUUUCUUUCUUUAGCUGUUUUAUUUGGUUUAGGGUUAGGGUUAUUUGCUAGCUGUUUGGUUUAUUCACAGAGGAGCAAUUAAUUUUGUAGGUUUAAUUUGUGUCCCGUUUCAAACCUUCUGCCAGUUUUGUAUUUUCUCACAAAAACGGAUAUGUGUAUUCACAGGCACUCGUCUUAUACAUUUAUAUAAUAGAUUCUGAGACCAGUGCCUGUGUGUAUAUAUUCAUUAAUAAACCUUAAAAUGAAAAAAAAAUAGUAUAUAAACUCUAAUUAUACUUGAAUGCUUUUGUUUUAUUCAAUUUAUAUAAAAUCUGGGUUUAGUUGUCUUUUAUUAGAACUUUUGGUUUCUGAUGCUUUAUCAUGUCAUAAUUGAUUUGGCCAUUUCACUUUUUCCAACUGAUUUCGUUUUUGACGAAACCCCUCGUUUAUUAGCAAUGUUCUCGUUAAGGUACGCACACAUGCCUGUGCGUUCGAUGGACGCUUCCUAAAAACACUGGCUGAGUCUUGUUAUCAUCAUAACUUUCCCUCAGCUUUUCAAAAGAAGCAGAAAACAUGCUUCUAUUCAAUAUUUUUACCAGACAUUCACUUUCGUUUUAAUUCAAUGUAUGUUAUGAUAAAUCCUGAGCAAUGCGAAAAAAAUAUGACUAUGUGACACACGCUAAUUGGAUAAACGCCGAGAAGAUCGAAAUGUUUUCAAAAACAUGUGUACCUAUUGAGCAAGGGAAAACUCUUAACAGGGACCCAUUUUAGCUGCUUGAUGCAGGGAUCUAUUUAUAUAUAUUUUCUAUAAAAAUCUUGAUUUAUUUGCCACAAAAUCCUCUUUUUCUAUCAAAUGCAAUGAAACAGUAAAAAAUAAUGCUUUGCAUCAAGUUUCCCCUUGGAACAUGUACUAAAUGGCCUAUCUCUAUUAUUUAUUAUAUCUUUAGUUUUGAUACAAUUGAGGUUUGAAAAAUUCGUACAAAAAUGGCUACAGAAGGGUACAUAAACCUUAAACCAAAGUUGGUCUCAAUCAUUAUUGGGGUAUCUGUCACCGAGGGCCAGUGUGGCAUGCUUUUUGCUAGGGGGGGGACUAACUAUGCAUGCUUGACCCAAGGGACAGGGGGUCAGUCCAUAAAUAGACUUACGACAGACAAGUGGCAAAGUUAAUACUCUAAAACGUUUAACAAUUUAAUAAAUAACAAUAUAUGCCAAAGAUAAUUCCAAAUAAUUUAAACAAAUGCACUAAAGAAUUUAAAUGUCACUGUUCGUAAGAAUUAUCUAAUCACUUUUGUAUAAUCACUAGCUGGAAUUGUCCGAAAUGCACUUGUAAGAUGAAAUUGUCCAAAUAGUUAUAUUCCUUCGAUAGAACUGGCUCCAGGGUUGAAGGUCUUGAUCCGAUGAGUUGUUGGUCUUUCCUUUGUUUUCGGGUUGAUGGCGUUCCAAUGUUUCAGAUGAUCGCUGGGCAAUCUGUUGUUACUGAUUGUUGAAUAACCAAGACUGGAACAAGACGGUACUCUGCAGGAUCAAUCCAAGUCCUUCACGCUUCUAACUGUUGUAACGGUGACUGUGACUUAGGGCCGUAUUAGAAUUUCUACGAACUAUUUAUACCAAAACUGAAAAGAGCUCAAUGUGACAAGUAAAAUCUUAAUUGAUUCGAGUAAUAACAUGAAAUGAUAAAGUUAAAAUAUGAAUAGUAAAUUAAUUAAAGAUUACAAUUAAAGGAUUUAAAAUGAGUUAUCAAAUGACAUCUGUCUGCCUAAUUAACAAAUUGAACAAUUACUGUUAUUCUCAAAAACAUAUGUGACAUAUUCAAAUAUUUCUAAUUAGUUUGAAGGUAAUUAAAUUAAGAUAAAUUCAAUGAGAAUUAAAUAAGAAAACUGUAAAUAAAUAUAAUCCUAAUGGAAAACUAUCUUUUGAUUCCAAACUUAUUCAAGAUUUAAAAAUUAAAAUAUGAAAUUAGAAAAAUGAUCAAGAAUACUAAAAAUGGUUUUAAAAUCCUGAAAGGGAAAAUGCACCUAUGACAUAUCUAAUACUAUUUAUUAUGAUUUUAACCUUAUUUAACGUGAUUUCCAAAACCACAGUAGAUACAGGUGAGGGACGCAGGCUCUUGAGAUCCUCUAGUUUAUUAUUUUAAAAGUCUCCAAUGCAGUUGAGUAUUAGCUGCCUUGUGAACUACCACCUUUGAAUAUGGCUAAGUAAAAUUGCUAUCUGAACAGACUUUUUUUUUUUUUUUUGAAACCUUACUGUCUUCAGUGUUUGAAUAUGGGAUCAUCAGUUAACUUAAGUGCCUGCACAGUUUUGCACAUGGAACAAUCAUGAAUGGUGAAAGAAAUUCAUUUAAGAUAUAUUAUCCUUUUUCAGCCAAUGGACAAGUAUGCCCACCUGGAUGGGUUGAUGGUCCUAUGGGUAAGAAGUGCUACCUUUUUGCUGAUAACCACAAAAGAAAUUGGUUUGAAGCUAAAUAUGUAUGUAAUUCUAUGCGGGCACAGUUGUUGUCAAUUGAGGACUCUCUUGAGAUGG